rnacentral:rRNA from 1 species
AUGGGGAGGAGGGCGUGGAGUGCCAAGGAAGGGGUGAAGAGAGGGGCAUGGACGAGCAAGGAGGACGAAACCUUGGCCUCCUACGUCAAGGCGCAUGGCGAAGGCAGAUGGAAGCAAGUCCCACUGAAAGCUGGUCUGCGGCGGUGCGGCAAGAGCUGCAGGCUGCGGUGGCUGAACUACCUCCGGCCGAGCAUCAAGCGGGGCAACAUCUCCGACGACGAGGAGGAGCUCAUCGUCAGGCUCCACAGGCUCCUCGGUAACAGGUGGUCGCUCAUCGCGGGCAGGCUGCCCGGCCGAACAGACAACGAAAUCAAGAACUACUGGAACAGCACCCUUGGCCGGAAGGCGCUCCCGGAGCGAUCUGCCACCAGGAUGGUCAGCACGCCAUGCGCCUCCCCCGGCUCCGUCUCCUCCAACUCCGGGGCUGCUACAAGCUCCAACGCUGCGACGCCCCCGUUGUCGGCCGCAGUGUGGGCGCCCAAGCCCGUGAGGUGCACGGGCGGCCUCUUCUUCCACGGGGAUGCGCGGGCCGUGGGAGGAGACGGAGAUGAGUGCAGCGGCAGCAGCUUGGUGGCAUCGUCGGGCGGUGGCGACUGGAUGGACGACGUUAGAGCCUUGGCGUCGUUUCUUGAGUCCGACGACGACUGGGUCAACUCCCUGCAGAUGGCGGGUUAA